rnacentral:tRNA from 1 species
GCCGAUGUAGCUCACCUGGACAGAGCGUGCGCCUCGUAAGCGCAAGAACCCGGUUCGAGUCCGGGCUUCGGCU